rnacentral:rRNA from 1 species
GUAUAUGUCCAUACCCCCUUGAACACGCCCGAUCUCGUCUGAUCUCGAAAGCUGAGCAGGGUUGGGCCUGGUUAGUUGUUGGUUGGGAAGAACAGACACCAGACUAGAAUGGACU